UCUCAUCAUUUGCUUUCCCAAGUUCAAAUCACUGGGCAACACGGCAGGUAUUAAUAAACCGUGGGCGAGGCAACCAGCACGAGUUUCAGGCAAAACGAGUCGGAUCUGACGCUUUCACAGGAAGUUUGCGCAGGGAUCAGCUGUGCGAGUGCCACAUUUUUGCAGCUGUCCCCAGAUGUUUACACUCACGAUGGAUGACUGACAGUGAAAGCUUGUCAUCGUGGCUGUGACACAGUCAACGUGAAAGGAAACGAAAAACAACAAUGGCAACAAUGAGUAACAGACUGACCCUUUUGCUGAAUCAGUCCUAUUGGCUCCUCUGUUUGAGCACAACUCCCUCAAAAAAAGAACCUGUUUGUCUUUCCUGGGAUCAGUAAACAUCCUCAACACAAACAGAAGAAAGUCACACCACCAGGGCAGCUGCGCUCUCACUGUAUGUGUCUAUUGAUGUCUGUAGGAGGGAACUGAUAAUGAAGGUUCCUAUGUCUUUGUCGUUGAGCCAUGAACAGAAAUUAGACUUAAUGCUUAAGACUGAAAUCUUAAUAUAAAGAAUUUAUUUUGUUUAUACAUUUUCCAAAUUUCUUGUCAUGGUCAAAUGAUCAAUCCACCACUGAUUUGAUUCAUCCAUCCAUUCAUUUCCCAAUCGACUUGUCCUGGGUGAAUGGUCCUGGAUAAAUAUUU